ACUGGGUUUGAUCUGAGGACACGUUUACACGUAGCCGGGAUUCACAAUAACAGAUCUACACUUUCUAAAAUAACAUCGUUCACACCAGA